UACGUAGGGACCGAGCGUUGUCCGGAAUCAUUGGGCGUAAAGAGCGUGUAGGCGGCCACUUAAGUCCUGCGUGAAAUCUUGCGGCUCAACCGCAAGCGGUCGUGGGAAACUGGGAGGCUUGAGUAUAGGAGAGAAGAGUGGAAUUCCACGUGUAGCGGUGAAAUGCGUAGAGAUGUGGAGGAACACCAGUGGCGAAGGCGACUCUUUGGCCUAUAACUGACGCUGAGGCGCGAAAGCGUGGGGAGCAAACAGG
rnacentral:rRNA from 1 species